rnacentral:tRNA from 1 species
ACCUGGGUGGCUCAGUCAGUUGAGUGUCUGACUUCAGCUCAGGUCAUGAUCUUGAGGUUUAUGGGUUCGAGCCCCAUGUCAGGCU